AUAUUAUUAUUUAUAUUAUUAUUUAUUAUUUAUAAAUAAAGAUUUAAUCUUUUAGUUGCAAUUAAUCACAAUUAAUGACUUUCAAAAUGUGCCCAAAAGCCCUAUGAUUUAUUAAAUGAAAAUUAUGCUGAAGAGGAGACUUACUUCCAUAAAGACCGCAACCGGACAAUUGAGGUGGACGUGAUGAGCGAUGUGAAUGAAUGAGAUCGUGCGGAUGCUGUUUACAUGCACACACAGGGACUAUUUUUCUCCAGACUAUUGAAAUGAGAUACACAACGUUUGGUGGCUAAUACUUCUUUGUGCUGAAAGGCAGCUAUUUACUUACUAUUUAUAAUUUCGCUGGUAACCGUAUUAUAAAUUAAUCGAAGAUCGGACAUGAACUGAUAAUGCACUUUGGAUCUCACUUAGUUUGGUGUUAGCUUGUUUUCAGGCUUUUCUUUAGAUCGAUGACUUAAUAGAAGUGAUGCAAACCAUCAUUAAGAACCCCCUUUUUCCUUCCCAGUACCUUCAAAAGGUAUUAUUAUACAUGAUAUUACUGACAGCAACAAAACUGACAGUCUUUAAUAGUCAAACCACAGUAUUAGAUAUGAUUAUGACUUGGAUUAAAGGCGUGGGUGACAACACUCAUUGCAGUUCAAUCUGUGAGCUGGAUGGCGGUUUUAGAGUCAGCGCAAUCAUUAUAAAUGAAGAGCAGGUUAUGUUACGUAGCAGUUGUUGGCAAGAGUGUCAUCAACGUGGUGGCCGUGACCAAACUGACGCGCGGUGCCUCAAAAGCAAACCCAUGACUACAGAUGCACAGCCCACACACUGUUCCUCGCUCUGUUUCCUGUUGUUUUCACUCACAAGUCUCUCGCUGUUUCAGGCCUCAGGCCCUCCAGAGCUGAGAGUGAUUGGAUCAGACAUCCGCAUGCCUGCUUCUCACAGCACAGACGCAGGAAAACCCUAAGAGGCACAAUGCACGGGUGAUCACGCACACGGUCGCACGAGUACGCGAGUUGGGGAUACACGCACUGGCCACACCCCAGUCGGUGAUGGUGGGAAUCAAAGCACAUCGGAGCUGAGACGGAUGAAAACCCCCCCAAAGAGACUGACGCAGUAAAACCCUCGUCCCAGCCUGCUUCCACCUGAGCCUGACGGAUUCCCCGGCUUCCCCUCUCGCCCUCCGUGGCUCGGGAGAAUCCCCUCCAGCCAGCCGGAUCACUGCCUCUCCCUCCAGCGUGGCUUCCAUCAAUUGCAUCGCUCCUGCCGCCCGGACCCUUGUGCCUGCCUGCUUCUCCAGCGUCUUCCCCCGGCCACGGAUUCAGCGCUGCCCAUUUACAUCCAUUUGCUGCCGAAAAUAAAAUCUUUUUUUUUAUCUUCUGAAUCCUGCGUUUGGGUCCUACCUUUGUUUUGGCUGUCACCCCGUGACAAGAGCAGAUCAGAGCUUUGGACGAGGUGUCACGAAUCCACCUUUUCUAUUUUUUUCUUUUCUCCAUUUGGAGAGCGUUUUUUUGGGGCCUUUCAGGCCAAAGGUCAGGAGAAGGCCGCCCACACAAAGUCAAACACUGUUAUAUUUGUUUUCCCGGAGCCUCGUGAGACCUUUGACAUCAUCCGUCGCCCGUGCAUUAAAGCGACGGUGGUUGUGGGAAACACUACAAUAAUUCAUCUCAUAUUCUCUCUGCUGAUACCGAAGACUUGCCAUGUGCGACGGCUUGUGUAAAAAAAACACACAUUUUGUGUUUAAUUGAGAUUAAUUGUAUGAUGUGACUGCAUGCAAGCGUCUUUCUCAAAGCAGUCACAGACAGCUGAACCCACACAUGGAUGAAAACAGCAGAUGGGAAUCCAACUAUUGCAUUCAUGAUAAGAACAAAUGCAUCUAAAUAUACAUGUCGUGUAUACGGUUGGUGCAGCAAGGCCAGCAAGGUACCCUAAAGAGGUGAAGGAAUUGAAUGAAUAAGCACCGUCUAUAUCUCUCACAGUAGCUCUAGCUCUCCAUUUGUCUGUGUCAAUGUGGCUGACCUUUGAAAACAGAGGUUGUUUGGUCCUCGGACGGCGAGGGAAAUGUAAUAGUCCGUGGGACAGAUGGAAAAGCUCCGGCACUCCUUCACUAAAAGAUAUUUACAGACAACAGUUGCACUAGAUGGGGCGCAGAAUAAAUAAUCAAAAAAUGGUUAAGCAGUUAAGUAUAGAAAACUUUGAGUUGAUUUUGAGUUGCAGUAACAAUAUACAUGCACUAUUUCUGUGCUGUAAAAUGACGUUUGUACAUAGUUAAGAACGGAUUUCUUUUUUGAGAUAUCAACGUUUGGGUUAUAAACUGUUAUUUCCUGUCAGGGAUUCAGCAGGGUACCAUGACAUCCUCGGUUCCUCUCUAGAGCCUCUUGAUUGAUGAAUAUCAUGAAAGACUUAUCAGUACGAAACAAAACAGCCGACACUAGGUUGCAUUGCAAAAUCAAAUUCAUAAGAUCAGCAUUGGUUAACGAUUUUGUUUCCCAUAAGAGAUUGGCAAGGCUACAACUAGCACCUCACAUAAUGUCCUUAUGCUUUGUCAAAAUGGGAACGCAAUAGAAAGGCGAGGAAAUCAUAAAAUAUGAAUGUUGCGAUACGCAAACACGUCUAUUUAUAAAAAGCACAUACUUACCCAAAUUCAUCAAAAUAAAACUACAUACUUUUGCGCUAA